CACGACACAAAUGAGUGAUCAAAACAGUAAUGAACCAGUUGAGCAGCCUGCGCAUAUGUUAUUUCCAGUUUCGGCGAUUCAGUGGAAAAAAGAAAAGAAGGAUUCAGCUCCACACCUUCACACACAGCAAGGAGCUCCAGGAGAUGGCCUUUGUCCCUCAGAGUUUCCUCGCUAGAAAAACAGUUUUAGUUCACCUCUGGGUCGUCGAGGAGCCGGAGAGGGGUGGUGUCGGAGCUGAGGAGGUCCCUGACGGCCUCGUUGUAUAUCUCCAUGGCGGAGAACCUGAGGAUGAACUCCCUGUCGGGAUGCUGAGUUGAAGACCCGAAACAGAGCACAGGUUAAGGGCAGACAAAGCAAACCAACAGCAGCAGAGCCAUGCAGACAAUGCACGGUAUGCACCUGGUCUAUGUAGGCGUAGAUUUCGGCCAUGCUGUGCUCGGUGAUGCCGAGCAUGGUGUACGUCUUGCCGCUGCUCGUCUGCCCGUAGGCGAAAAUGCUCGCUGCAAAGCAAAGAGCAUGCAAGCAAGCAGGGAACAUCAAACAUUUUUACAGCAUUGGAUGGAUGUAUGGAUGGAUGCUUUGGCACG